rnacentral:rRNA from 1 species
AACUAACGCUGGCGGCGUGCCUAACACAUGCAAGUCGUACGAGAAAGCCGGCUUCGGCUGGUGAGUAAAGUGGCGCACGGGUGAGUAACGCGUGGAUAAUCUGCCCUUAAGUAUGGAAUAACGUACCGAAAGGUGCGCUAAUACCGCAUAAUGCCUGGCAACACAAGUUGUCCGGCCAAAGAAGGCCUCUGUUUACAAGCUUUCGCUUCAGGAUGAGUCCGCGUACCAUUAGCUUGUUGGUGGGGUAAUGGCCUACCAAGGCUGCGAUGGUUAGCUGGUCUGAGAGGAUGAUCAGCCACACUGGAACUGAGACACGGUCCAGACUCCUACGGGAGGCAGCAGUGAGGAAUAUUGCGCAAUGGGGGCAACCCUGACGCAGCAACGCCGCGUGAGUGAGGAAGGUUUUCGGACUGUAAAGCUCUGUCGAGCGGGAAGAAGUGUACCAUGGCUAAUAUCCAUGAUAUUUGACGGUACCG